UACGUAGGGUGCAAGCGUUGUCCGGAAUUAUUGGGCGUAAAGAGCUCGUAGGCGGUUUGUUGCGUCGGCUGUGAAAUCCCGAGGCUCAACCUCGGGUCUGCAGUCGAUACGAGCAAACUAGAGUGUUGCAGGGGAGACUGGAAUUCCUGGUGUAGCGGUGAAAUGCGCAGAUAUCAGGAGGAACACCGGUGGCGAAGGCGGAUCUCUGGGCCAUUACUGACGCUGGAGGAGCGAAAGCGUGGGGAGCGAACAGG
rnacentral:rRNA from 1 species